rnacentral:lncRNA from 10 species
GCUGGCCCCCACCCUCUGCAUUUGCCAUCCAGCAGGUCUGGGUGGGUACCAGGAUGCGGAUUCGUAACAGGAGAGGCUGAUGCUGCCAGUCUGGGUCCACAUUUUGAGAAGCAUUCCUCCAAGGGUCCCACCCACGCUCAUACCCCAUGUCUGACAAUGCCUGCCAGGAUGGGCACUGAUGAAUAUGGUUGAACGGAACUCCAAGGACCACCCAGGUUGAUAGUAGUGAGUUUGUGUACAGAAGACUGCAAUGAAUUGAAGUCAUGAGACAUACAGCCAGGAUCCUGAAAGCCACCAACAUAUGUCACCUGCCUGGGAGGCUUGCUUCGAUGGUCAUCUUGUUCUGCCUGCUAAGACCAGGAGUCACAGCUGUUGACAUCAUGGUGAAUAAAAACAUUUUCUGCCACAGGU